GCGAGGUUGAGGCCUCCCAGCAGGGGUUUCUCGAUUCCUUUGUCCCUUUAAGCCCCCUGGGGGUUGAGCCGGUCCCGGAGGCCUCUUUCCCCUCCAUGGCCAGUGACUGGUUUAGGCGCUGGCCAGCGACUCUCAGACCCAUGGGGCCGAGGGCAAGAUGGUGGGAAACUGGGGGACAGGGCGUUUUCACGGGUGGGGGAGGCCAGAGGCGGCCGGCCCUCUUCAUCCAGUCCCGGGCCCUUUGGGGACCACAGGCCACUGAUAGGACAGAAGCAGAGUGGGAAGUGCAUGUGUUUGGGGGGGCACUGGAGCCUCAGGUGUGACCGAGCAUGGCCUCCACCAGCCCUGACUGGUUCACUCGGCGUGUCAUGUGAUACCGCACACACACUGUUUCUGGAGGAGUUUUCAUUGCAUUUCCUCUAUUUUUGUAGCCGAUGCAUCUGACAGGAAGUCGUAGUUUUCAUUAGCUGAAGAAAAGGAUCUGCCUCCCCUCCCCUGCCAGGGUUCAGGAUCUCUCUAGAAGGCGCUCAGAGGAUGUAGACUGACUCACUGACUGACAGACUGACACGGCUCCGUGUAACCCAGGUACCGUGGACAUUCGCGGCGGCCUGUUUGGAGGAGGCUGCUGACUGGAGUGUGUGGAUCCCACGGUCCAGCCCAGCGCUCUGCACGGCCAGACCGUGGGAGAGAGAGUUCGAGAAACUGAGUACUGAGCAAGCAGGGGUCCAGGCCACGGCGCUGAGCGUGCCUGCGAGAGGACCCAGCCAGCUGGUGGGUGGGCACCAGAGGGUCCCUCUCACCAGGAGCCUGCCGGGCAAGCAGGCUUCAGCUUACAGGCAACCCUGGCUGGUCAGUCGUGUUCAGAAGGAUUCUGAAGUUGUGUCUAAAUUAGGCCUGGAUUAUCCCUUUGUCUCCCAAGGACACAAAUGAGGCAGCCCAUUCAGGCAGUUAUUUGUCCUCCUUGUCUGGGGCCUGGUUCUUGGCUUUCUGGGAGCAGGAAAGUCAGGGCGUCCUCCCAGAGCAGAGACGGUCAAGAGAGGGUCCAUGUAGCUCUUGAAAAAGAUCUCAUCCCUUUGACACAUUUUGUUCAAAAACAGUCUGACUCUGAGGCCCAGGGUCGUGCAGGUGGAGGCGCUGUUUCCGGCUGUCUCAGGUUUAUGAAGCUCCAUCUACCCCUGGAGCAGCCUCUUCCUCCGCCAGCGGCGGUGGCCAAACUCUGAUGCGUCCCCUCUUUUCAGAGGGACCCACGGUCGUGCUGUCCUGGCUCAGACUGGGGCGGGUAGGGGGGAGCCUGGCUUUCAGUCCAGCGGCUGCUUCUCUGACUGCGGCCUGUGGUGAGGCUGCAGGGCCCUGGGGCCCCGAGGUAGACCCGAGGACACCUGCUCUAAUGUCACAAUGCUGCUUCUGGUCGGGCUGCAGCUUUCCUCAGUGCCCGCUGGGCAGUGCCCCCUGCUCACCUGGGCUCUGUGGGAAGUGCAGGGGGUGUGAGCUUAGCCACCUCCAAGGGGAAGGGCGCAGGGUGCAGGGCAGAGGGGCUGGGGGCUUCAGCAAGGUCGGGGGAAGGCUCUGCCUGACCACCUGUAAAAGGACGGGACAGUCACUCCCUGAGGGGAGCAGCCCAGACAAGGACUGGGACAGGGACGGGACUCGGAGCGACACAGUUAGCUCAGAAUGUGCUCUACUCUGAGGGCUGGCACGGGGGAGGGAGGGGAGGGCCUGUGCUGGCUUCGGUGGGCAGCGGAGGAGGCGGGGAGCCCAGGUGGGGGCCCUGGCUGGAGGGCCUGGUCCCUGCAGAGGGUGGUACCACGGGCACUGGGGAGGGGCCCUUGCCUCCCCCUCCUUUGCCUCUUCUCCCCGCCCCUUUCCUCUCUCGCUGGGGUCUCCCCUCCACGUGCCUCCCUCCCCUGCCGCUUCCCAGGCAGGUGACAGGGCCGCUGCCUUCACCCGCCCCCUGGAGGGACGCACAGAGGAGCUGGGAAGGGGGCCGCCUGCCGGACCAGCUUGAAGAGAAGCAGAUGCAGCGCCUGGCUCGGGGGAGGUGGCCGAAGGACAUGACCUUCCUCCCGGCCUUUCUUUUGGGAAAGGAAGUCUUCGGACGUUUGUAGCAACUGAAUCAAUCUUGUCACUUUGAUAAGCAGGGUCCCGGUGCGGAGAAAGCUCCACACUUCCUCCGAUUGUUCCAGUUUAUUGAAUUUCAGCGUGUGGGACAUGAUAGGCCCGUUCCUGGGGAGCGCGGGAGGAAGCGGGGGCGGCCGGGGCUUCCGCGGGGCGCCCGGGGAGCAGCGCGGCCCGGGUUAUUCUUGGAAGUUAUUUUGAUCUCCUGGCCCCGACGGCUCAGGUUUCUGGCCGGGCCUCUGGGCCACGUAACGGGAGGAUGAGGCGCUUCAUUAUAAGAAUAGCCUCGGCGGCUCUUUGAGGGCACCGGGACCACGCUGGCUCAGCGGCGGGCCUCGGGGAGCAGUGAGGGCCGCUGCCGGAGGCUCCCGGGAGCGCAGCCUCUUCCCCGCGCUGCUGGGGAGCAGAGGUGACUCAAGAGGAGCCUGACUCAUGAGCUCCCCGGACAGGAAGGCCGGGCAGGCAGUGUAACGAAGAAAGUUCUGGUCCAAGCUGUUUAUAAAAUGGAACCUCUUGCCCUUGAAAUAGAAGCUCCUGAACCGGUGAGGGCGGGCGCCCCCCACCCGGGCCCCAGGCUUUGCUAUUUUAACUUCUGCGUUUAAGUCCUUUCUUCUUAUUAUAGAUGUUGCAUCACCUCCCUUUGGCUGCAGCACUGAAGUACCACGACCGGGGUGCUUAAACAACACAAUUUGCUUUCUCGGGGUGCUGCGCGCAGAAGUUGGAGACACGGUGCGGGCUGCGCUGCUUCCCGCUGAGGCCGCGCUCUCCCAGUCCCCCCCUGGCUUGUGAGAUGACGGCUUCAAUCUCCGCCUUCAUCGGAGCUGGCAUGCUCCGCGUGUGUUCACAUUUCCCCUUUUUAUGAGGACAGCAGGGAUACCGGCUCAGGGCCAGGCUACUCCAGGAUGACUCAUCUUAACUGAUUACAUGGGCAAGGACCCUAUUUCCCAAUAAAGUCACAGUGAAUUUUGGGGGGGAACACAAUUCAACCCACAAUAGAUGGAGUGGUACAUAUGCAUGGUGCAAAUCUAGAAAAUAGAAGCAAGCACAAAAGAAGAAGAAACCCUUUUAUCACUGAGUGAUCCUGGCUGUGAAUAUCUUAGAGGCCCGAAAAAAAAAAUCUUAAAAUUAGACAAAAUGAGUGUAUUGUUUCAUAUCUUUAUUCAAUGAUCUCUACCUUUCUACUUCACUAAAUUUCUUCUCAUCAAUAGUCUAUGUUCAAAAUGUGUGUUAUUUACCGGUAUCAACUUAUUUUGGGCCAAUUACACUGUGCGACACCUCACCUCCUGGAUUUGUCCCAUUGCUUCUUUGUGACAUUGUUUAGUUCGUCCUUCUGUCCCCUGUGUUGCCUGUAAAGUGGGGCUGUAGAGCCUCUGACGAGGUCAAGCUAAGCAUUUUUGGAUAGAAAGCAUUGAAGGCACUUCUAAGUGCCCCCCAGCAGAAGACAUGGAACAUCUGGUGCACCCAGGGCAGGCCUUGCCGGGCAUGGGGAUGGUGCCUUGAGGGGGGGUGUCCUGCAUUGGGUGCGAAGUGACACUUGGUGAUUGUGAAUGCUCCUGGCAGCCCUGAGGUUUAUGCUAGUUGAAGGUUUCUGAUAGUUGAGACAUGAACGCUCUCUUUUCUGGUGACAGCUGGCACUGGGAGAGGAAGUGUGGCAGGGCCUGCAGUGCCACCCGCAUCAGGGCCCUUUGGAGACCUCACCAGUCUCAAGAUUCUCAGUUCUAAGAAGUCCCGCCCUUGGGUUCCGACACUGAGUCCACUAAUGUUUUCCCACCAGACCUGGGCCUCGUGACGGUCCACGCCCCACACUGCGGUGUUGCAGGACGUGGCUGGAUCCCCGUCUCCCUCCCAGAACUUUUCCAGGAAGGACCAUAGCCCUUUCUCUCCAGCAUGCUACAGGGUUUUUGUUUUUGUUCCGCAAAGAGAAGCAGUUUACAGAGAAACACACAGACUUUAUGUGUAAAUUUGCUCAUCUUUUGACGAAUUCAUACACUCGUAUAACCCAAACCUCCAUCAAGAUACAGAAAAUUCCCAUCACCCGCAAAGUUCCUGCAGGCCCUUCCCAGUUAAUCCCGGCGUGGCCAGAGCUGACCACAGUUUCCGCUUCUCCCACAGUGGAUCACUUUGCCUGUUCUUCGUGUACACGGCAUCUACAGCACCAAGAUGGGCUUCCUCCUCGGCCUUGCAGGUGUCAGCACCUCACUGCCUCCUCCCUGCCGUGUUGUGCGAUCACGCCGCACAUUGCUCAUCCAGUCUCCUGUGGAGGGACACGUGGGCCGUUUCCAGGUCUCAGCUGUUAUCAAUAAAGCUUCAUGAAUCAUCACAUACAAAUAAUUGUGUGCACUAAUGUUUUCACGUCUCUUGGGUAAAUAUCCAAGAGUGAAAUUAGCGGGUCAGUAAAAGAGGGCGUAGCAUUUCCCUUCCUAUCGAUAGUGAAACGGAGUUCUGGUGUCGUCAGCCUAUUUAUUUUUUGCCAUUCUGCUGGCUGCGUAGUGCUGUUUCAGUGUGGCUCUAAUUUUUUUAUUUUUCGGCUACAUCUGAGGCGUACACAAGGUCCUGGGCCAGGGAUCGAAUACAAGCCACAGCUGCAACCUACGCCACAGCCACGGCAAUGCUAGAUCCUUAUCUCUUCACACUGGGCCAGGGAUGGAGCCCAUGCCACUGCAGAGACGAUGCCAGAUCCUUAACCUGCUACGUCACAGUGGGAACUCCAUUAACUGAAUUUCUUGUCAUCUUUCAGUGAAGAUAAUCAAAGAUACGUGGAUAGGAAGUGAUCUUUGAGUGACACUGUUUAGUUCGUCCCUCUGUCCCUUGUGUUGACAGAGGGACAAACUAAUUCUUCCUCAUUCCCAUUCUCUGGGUUUCUGGUGAGUCCAAUAGCAGGGGAUAGAGGCUGGUGGCGAGGUGGGGCUGGCCAGCACGGCGUGGUGUUCUAGAAGGUUCUGAUACAUUAGGGGAGACAGGGUUGGACAUGGAAAAAGGGCAGAGAAGACCCCUUGGCCCUAAAGUGUUCGCCAUAUGGGGUUUGUUGGGGGAAGGCAGUAGAAGUACAGAGACUGCAGCUGAGAAGAGGGAAGAAUUGACACGCUACCUCUAGGAGUGGACAAUUGCCCAUUGGAGAAUCACGGCGCCAGAGAGCUUUCUUGCAGUUCCAGGUAGAAUCCUGUUCUUUAAAUGGAGACUAUCAUUUGCUACCCUCCUUGGCAGAGGUUCCUUUGAGCCAGAGGAGCUCUGAGACCUCAGGGAACCAGCAGGAGCUCCCACCCUGCUCCAGGGUGACCCCCUGUCUCCUCCCUGCCCAGCUGGUGAUGGAGACCCCACCCAACCUUAUUCUUUGACCUUAUUCUGGUCCUUCCGUGGGGAGCACUGCCGCCCACUCCCGCUACUGCACCCCUUCAUCUACAGAGACUCAUUGUGGGGGGGCUUUACUAAGCCACCCUAGAAUGUCACUGGAAGACCCGAGAACAGGCCACAGGGAAGGAAUACAAGGAGAAGAAGAGAAAAAGAAGCUGGGAUGGCGAAGGGGGCAGGGGGAGGUGACAGUUGCUGUGGAGGGUCAGCAGCUGUAGACCUGAGCUGUCCGUUCCUGCUCCUGCCUCAGGUGAGACGUCCCCUCGGGGUCAGGGGGAAACGGGGCUGAGGACCCUGCAUCCUCUGGAGAGGCCACCUUACCUCCAAGCACAGGCUCAGAACACCUUUGGCCAAAAAGAAAUGGUCAACGGAUAUUAGGAAAGUAAGAAUUGACAGUCCAGAGAGAUCUCUGGCCACAAAGCCUUGUCUUAACUGGGGACGGUGCUGUCAGUUCCUGUUGCGGCUCAGUGGGUUAAGACUCCUGCAGUGUCCAUGAGGAUAUGAGUUUGAUCCCUGGCCUCCUUCAGUGGGUUAAGAUCCCACAUGGCCACACCUGCGCUGUAGGUCACAGAUGUGGUUCAGAUUCGACCCCUAGCCUGGGAGCUUCCAUAUGCGGCAG
rnacentral:lncRNA from 1 species